UACGGAGGGGGCUAGCGUUGUUCGGAAUUACUGGGCGUAAAGCGCACGUAGGCGGUUUCUCAAGUCAGAGGUGAAAGCCCGGAGCUCAACUCCGGAAUUGCCUUUGAAACUAGGUGACUUGAAUCAUGGAGAGGUCAGUGGAAUUCCGAGUGUAGAGGUGAAAUUCGUAGAUAUUCGGAAGAACACCAGUGGCGAAGGCGGCUCACUGGACCGGCAUUGACGCUGAGGUGCGAAAGCGUGGGGAGCAAACAGG
rnacentral:rRNA from 1 species